GAGUUUGAUCCUGGCUCAGAACAAACGCUGGCGGCGUGCCUAACACAUGCAAGUCGUACGAGAAAGUUCGCUUCGGCGAAUGAGUAAAGUGGCGCACGGGUGAGUAACGCGUGGAUAAUCUGCCCUUUGGUUGGGAAUAACUCAUCGAAAGGUGGGCUAAUACCCGAUAAUACUGCUUUCACUACGGUGUAGUAGUCAAAGAUAGCCUCUGUUUACAAGCUUUCGCUGAAGGAUGAGUCCGCGUACCAUUAGCUAGUUGGUAGGGUAAUGGCCUACCAAGGCGACGAUGGUUAGCUGGUCUGAGAGGAUGAUCAGCCACACUGGAACUGAGAUACGGUCCAGACUCCUACGGGAGGCAGCAGUGAGGAAUCUUGCGCAAUGGGGGAAACCCUGACGCAGCAACGCCGCGUGAGUGAGGAAGGUUUUCGGAUCGUAAAGCUCUGUCAGGUGGGAAGAAAUGUAUGAGGGUAAAUAGCCUUUAUACUUGACGGUACCACCAGAGGAAGCACCGGCUAACUCCGUGCCAGCAGCCGCGGUAAUACGGGGGGUGCAAGCGUUGUUCGGAAUUAUUGGGCGUAAAGAGCGUGUAGGCGGCUUGAUAAGUCAGAUGUGAAAGCCCUGGGCUUAACCCAGGAAGUGCAUUUGAAACUGUCUUGCUUGA
rnacentral:rRNA from 1 species